AUACGUAGGUGACAAGCGUUAUCCGGAUUUACUGGGCGUAAAGGGCGUGUAGGCGGUCUUGCAAGUCAGAAGUGAAAUUCCUGAGCUCAACUCGGGCGCUGCUUCUGAAACUGCAGGACUUGAGUGCUGGAGGGGAUAGCGGAAUUCCUAGUGGAGCGGUAAAAUGCGCAGAUAUUAGGAAGAACACCGGUGGCGAAGGCGGCUAUUUGGCCAGCAACUGACGCUGAGGCUCGAAAGCGUGGGGAGCAAACAGGAUUAGAUACCCUGGUGGUCCACGCCGUAAACGAUGAAUACUAGGUGUAGGGGGUAUCGACUCCCUCUGUGCCGCAGUUAACACAAUAAGUAUUCCGCCUGGGGAGUACGGCCGCAAGGUUGAAACUCAAAUGAAUUGACGGGG
rnacentral:rRNA from 1 species